rnacentral:ncRNA from 1 species
UUACUUGACGGGUAAAUCCUGUUACGUUCCUUGGGUGUUUCCUUCCAUCGGUUGGCACUAAGCCUAGGGGUUUGAGCGUAAUAGGGGCCGUCAUUUU